rnacentral:misc_RNA from 1 species
AUAUAUAAAAAAAAUAUAUAAUAAGUAUUUUACAAUACAUUAUACUUACAUGGUAUAUGGUGCAUGAUAAUAUAACACAAAUAAGAAUUCAAUAAAAAGAAUACAAAAAUGAACAAGUUUCAAAUACUAGAGCAAUGAUAAAUUGGAUGAUAAUCAUCACAACUUAUAUCAUACUACAAAACAUUUUUUUUAAUUGAUUUUAUGUCCAUUUCUUGAAAAUGCUCUGUUUGAAGCAAUGCAAUCAUUAGAAUAUUUCACAACUAGCUUGGUUCUGAAACCACUGAUUUUGGGACAAAAUCAUGGAUUUACAAGACUAGAGUGAGUUUUAAUUUUUAAAUAAUUUUGGUGGUGUACCAAAUUCCAGAAAACUGAAAAACCUUAAGCAAAUUCAAAAGUGUAUAGACUUAACUAUAAAAUGAACGAAGGCAAGGUAUUAGGAACAUCAUGUAUUCAGCAUUUUGAAGCCGUAACAGCAAAUCAAUGUAAGUUCAAAGAGAUUGGGUCAUUCAAAAAACUGCUGAAUAAUGUAGUAGUAUGCCAUUCCAAACACAGUAGAAACUUAUGUGAUGCAGAAUUGCAGACAGCAGUUUCAAAGUAGCAUAAAAGACAUACUCGUUAACUUCGCCAAGGGAAGA